rnacentral:rRNA from 1 species
GACGAACGCUGGCGGCGUGCUUAACACAUGCAAGUCGAACGGAAAGGCCCUGCUUUUGUGGGGUGCUCGAGUGGCGAACGGGUGAGUAACACGUGAGUAACCUGCCCUUGACUUUGGGAUAACUUCAGGAAACUGGGGCUAAUACCGGAUAGGAGCUCCUGCUGCAUGGUGGGGGUUGGAAAGUUUCGGCGGUUGGGGAUGGACUCGCGGCUUAUCAGCUUGUUGGUGGGGUAGUGGCUUACCAAGGCUUUGACGGGUAGCCGGCCUGAGAGGGUGACCGGCACCAUGGGACUGAGAUUACGGCCAGACUCCUACGGGAGGCAGCAGUGGGGAAUAUUGCACAAUGGGCGGAAGCCUGAUGCAGCAACGCCGCGUGCGGGAUGACGGCCUUCGGGUUGUAAACCGCUUUCGCCUGUGACGAAGCGUGAGUGACGGUAAUGGGUAAAGAAGCACCGGCUAACUACGUG